CAGUGGGGAAUCUUGCGCAAUGGGCGAAAGCCUGACGCAGCCAUGCCGCGUGAAUGAUGAAGGUCUUAGGAUUGUAAAAUUCUUUCACCGGGGACGAUAAUGACGGUACCCGGAGAAGAAGCCCCGGCUAACUUCGUGCCAGCAGCCGCGGUAAUACGAAGGGGGCUAGCGUUGCUCGGAAUUACUGGGCGUAAAGGGAGCGUAGGCGGAUAGUUUAGUCAGAGGUGAAAGCCCAGGGCUCAACCUUGGAAUUGCCUUUGAUACUGGCUAUCUUGAGUUUGGGAGAGGUGAGUGGAACUCCGAGUGUAGAGGUGAAAUUCGUAGAUAUUCGGAAGAACACCAGUGGCGAAGGCGACUCACUGGCCCAAUACUGACGCUGAGGCUCGAAAGCGUGGGGAGCAAACAGGAUUAGAUACCCUGGUAGUCCACGCCGUAAACGAUGAGUGCUAGUUGUCGGCAUGCAUGCAUGUCGGUGACGCAGCUAACGCAUUAAGCACUCCGCCUGGGGAGUACGGUCGCAAGAUUAAAACUCAAA
rnacentral:rRNA from 1 species